rnacentral:lncRNA from 1 species
CCAUUUUUCAUAGCAUAAAAUUCUCUCAAACUCUUUAUCGUCUCACUGCCCAAGCGUAGGUUAUUAGGGUUGAAAUUCGACGUGUCAGAAUUCAUCCAUGGCGUAACAAAAGUCUGAUUUAAAGGUACUCGUAUCAUGCAGUAUUUUCCUUGUAAUUCAGUAUCUGCUAUAUUUUGGUUCAAGCCAAUACAUUGGUGGUAGUUGCCCAUGUCCAUAGUGUUUCCUUCUAGAACUCCCCUGGGGACCCUCAUGCCGGCGUCCGC